UUGGGUGAAAACUUUAUGAAU
ensembl:piRNA 21ur-3598 ncRNA